rnacentral:tRNA from 1 species
GCGGAUGUAGCUUAAUGGUAAAGUAUCACGUUGCCAACGUGAAAAUCGUGAGUUCGAAUCUCAUCAUCCGCU